AGGGCACCACCAGGAGUGGAGCCUGCGGCUUAAUUUGACUCAACACGGGAAAACUCGCCCGGCCCGGACACCGUAAGGAUUGACAGAUUGAGAGCUCUUUCUUAAUUCGGUGGGUGGUGGUGCAUGGCCGUUCUUAGUUGGUGGAGCGAUUUGUCUGGUUAAUUCCGAUAACGAACGAGACUCUGGCCUAUUAAAUAGACGAGAUAUUAAAAAGUAUAUCGCACUUCUUAGAGGGACAAGCGGCGUCUAGUCGCGUGAAAAAGAGCAAUAACAGGUCUGUGAUGCCCUUAGAUGUCCGGGGCUGCACGCGCGCUACACUGAAAGAAUCAGUGUGCGUUUUACCUAGUUCGGAAGAACCGGGUAACCCAAGUAAAUUCUUUCGUGCUUGGGAUAGGGAAUUGCAAUUAUUUCCCUUAAACGAGGAAUUCCCAGUAAAUGCGGGUCAUAAGCUCGCGCUGAUUACGUCCCUGCCCUUUGUACACACCGCCCGUCGCUACUACCGAUUGGAUGACUUAGUGA
rnacentral:rRNA from 1 species